AUUGAACGCUGGCGGCAGGCCUAACACAUGCAAGUCGAGCGGAUGAAGGGAGCUUGCUCCUGGAUUCAGCGGCGGACGGGUGAGUAAUGCCUAGGAAUCUGCCUGGUUGUGGGGGAUAACGUCCGGAAACGGGCGCUAAUACCGCAUACGUCCUGAGGGAGAUAGUGGGUGAUCUUCGGACCUCACGCUAACAGAUGAGCCGAGGUCGGAUUAGCUAGUUGGUGGGGUAAAGGCCUACUAAGGCGACGAUCCGUAACUGGUCUGAGAGGUAGAUCACUCACCCUGGAACUGGGACACGGUCCAGACUCCUACGGGAGGAGGCAGAGGGGAAUAUUGGACAAUGGGCGAAGGCCUGAUCCAGCCCUGCCGGGUGUGUGAAGAAGGUCUUCGGAUUGUAAAGCACUUUAAGUUGGGAGGAAGGGCAGUAAGUUAAUACCUUGCUGUUUUGACGUUACCAACAGAAUAAGCACCGGCUAACUUCGUG
rnacentral:rRNA from 1 species